rnacentral:rRNA from 1 species
AUUGAACGCUGGCGGCAGGCUUAACACAUGCAAGUCGAACGAGUGGCGGACGGGUGAGUAAUGUCUGGGAAUCUGGCUUAUGGAGGGGGAUAACUACGGGAAACGGUAGCUAAUACCGCGUACCAUAGGAUGAGCCCAAGUGGGAUUAGGUAGUUGGUGGGGUAAAGGCUCACCAAGCCGACGAUCCCUAGCUGGUCUGAGAGGAUGACCAGCCACACUGGGACUGGGACACGGCCCAGACUCCUACGGGAGGCAGCAGUGGGGAAUAUUGCACAAUGGGGGCAAGCCUGACGCAGCCAUGCCGCGUGAAUGAAGAAGGCCUUCGGGUUGUAAAGUUCUUUCGGUGGCGAGGCGUUAACUACAGAAGAAGCACCGGCUAACUCCGUGCCAGCCGCCGCGGUAAUAC